AACGCACCUUGCGCUCCUUGGCAUUCCGAGGAGCAUGCCUGUUUGAGUGUCAUGUUAAUCUCAAUCCCUUGGGUUUGUUAUAAACUCUUGAGAUUGGACUUGGAGGUUACUGCUGGCUUCACCGUCGGCUCCUCUUGAAUGUAUUAGCUGGGCCUUUAGCCUCGCGCUCGUGGUGUGAUAGUUUAUUCCCCUUGAGUGUUGCUUGGAUGGGUCUGCUUCUAAUCAUCUUAAAACGCCAAAACCUUAACUCUCUGACCUCAAAGCAGGUAGGACUACCCGCUGAGCUUAA
rnacentral:misc_RNA from 1 species